UGGGGAAUUUUGGACAAUGGGCGCAAGCCUGAUCCAGCCAUGCCGCGUGCGGGAAGAAGGCCUUCGGGUUGUAAACCGCUUUUGUCAGGGAAGAAAUCUUCUGAGUUAAUACCUCGGGAGGAUGACGGUACCUGAAGAAUAAGCACCGGCUAACUACGUGCCAGCAGCCGCGGUAAUACGUAGGGUGCAAGCGUUAAUCGGAAUUACUGGGCGUAAAGCGUGCGCAGGCGGUUUUGUAAGACAGAGGUGAAAUCCCCGGGCUCAACCUGGGAACUGCCUUUGUGACUGCAAGGCUUGAGUGCGGCAGAGGGGGAUGGAAUUCCGCGUGUAGCAGUGAAAUGCGUAGAUAUGCGGAGGAACACCGAUGGCGAAAGCAAUCCCCUGGGCCUGCACUGACGCUCAUGCACGAAAGCGUGGGGAGCAAACAGGAUUAGAUACCCUGGUAGUCCACGCCCUAAACGAUGUCAACUGGUUGUUGGGAAGGUUCCUUCUCAGUAACGUAGCUAACGCNUGAAGUUGACCGCCUGGGGAGUACGGCCGCAAGGUUGAAACUCAAAUGAAUUGACGGGGUCAUAGCUGUUUCCUG
rnacentral:rRNA from 1 species